rnacentral:rRNA from 1 species
GACGUAGGGUGCGAGCGUUGUCCGGAUUUAUUGGGCGUAAAGAGCUCGUAGGCGGCUCGUCGCGUCGACCGUGAAAACCCGCGGCUUAACUGCGGGCUUGCGGUUGAUACGGGCGGGCUAGAGUUCGGUAGGGGAGACUGGAAUUCCUGGUGUAGCGGUGAAAUGCGCAGAUAUCAGGAGGAACACCGGUGGCGAAGGCGGGUCUCUGGGCCAUUACUGACGCUGAGGAGCGAAAGCGUGGGGAGCGAACAGG